CCUACUGGCGGCAGCAGUGGGGAAUAUUGGGCAAUGGAGGAAACUCUUACCCAGCAACGCCGCGUGAAUUAUGAAGGUCUUCGGAUUGUAAAGUUCUUUUCUAAGGGAAGAAGAAAGUGACGGUACCUUAGGAAUAAUCCUCGGCUAACUACGUGCCAGCAGCCGCGGUAAUACGUAGGAGGCAAGCGUUAUCCGGAAUGCCUGGGCGUAAAGUGUGCGUAGGUGGUUCAGCAAGUUAGUAGCGUACUUCCGGAGCUCACCUUCGGCACUACUACUAAAACUGUUGGACGUGAGUGCAGGAGGGGCAACUGGAAGUCCUAGUGUAGCGGUGGAAUGCGUAGAUAUUAGGAAGAACACCGGUGGCGAAGGCAGCAUACCGGCGCCCAACUGACGCUGAAGCACGAAAGCGUGGGUAUCGAACAGGAUUAGAUACCCUGGUAGUC
rnacentral:rRNA from 1 species